rnacentral:lncRNA from 1 species
CCAACUUCUCAACACCCUGAAACCAUAGACUCAAAAAGUGUAUUCAGUUAGACCCCUUUUGCUGCAUGCAGAUAUAGGAACAUCAGAAUAUAUCAAAAGGUAAAACUUGAAGACAUUGGUGUUAUUUUUCAAUCAAAAUAGGAGUUUUGUUUUCACAAUCUGGACAGUAGCAUCACAUAUUUGAAACUUCAAAUCUGAUGGAAGAAUGGUAUGAACAGUAUUUAGAAUGCUUUGUCUAGGUUUUAGACAAUAUUGAAAAGACUAGGACAAAUUAUGUUCAUAAGGGUGUGUCUAAAUAAAUUAUAACCUUAUCUGAUGAAAUUUGGGUUGAAAUAUUUUCUUUGUUCGGCAAAAGCCGUCCUGCAAUCAAUGAAAUUUCCACAUAGCAUUAAAAUCAGUUAUGAAAACAAAAAAGAGAUCUAGAUAGAAUAGUUCUAUAUUAAUUUGUAAUUUUCAUUCUUACUGGUUUUCACAGCAGCAGAAGAGAUAACAAAUGAAAAGGCCAGAAGGAGAAUAAGGAGAAAUUGCAGGGGAGAUUUGGACCUCAUGUUGAAGAAACACAAGAGGGAUCUGAACGGUGACAGAAGAAGCUAUAGAGAGAGAGAGGGAAAUAGAGCAGAAGAAGGUGAAUUUUGUAGAGUACUUGUGGAGAUG